rnacentral:rRNA from 1 species
CACGUAGUUAGCCGGAGCUUAUUCCUCGGGUACCGUCAUGUUUCGUCCCCGAUUAAAGAUCUUUACAACCCGAAGGCCUUCUUCAAUCACGCGGCGUUGCUGCGUCAGGGUUCCCCCCCAUUGCGCAAUAUUCCCCACUGCUGCCUCCCGUAGGAGUCUGGGCCGUGUCUCAGUCCCAAUGUGGCCGUUCAACCUCUCAGUCCGGCUACUGAUCGUCGCUUUGGUGGGCCGUUACCCCGCCAACUGGCUAAUCAGACGCGAGCUCAUCUUUGGACAAUAAAUCUUUGGCAGCAGGACCAUGCGAUCCCGUUGCAUUAUGCGGUAUUAGCAGCCGUUUCCGGCUGUUAUCCCCCAUCCAAAGGCAGAUUGCUCACGCGUUACUCACCCGUCCGCCACUAAGCUAAAGAUUCCGCUCCCCGAAGGAAGUUUCCUAAAUAGCUCCGUUCGACUUGCAUGUGUUAGCACGCCGCCAGCGUUCAUCCUGAGCCAGGACUACAAACUCU